UCAGCCACAUUGGGACUGAGACACGGCCCAAACUCCUACGGGAGSCAGCGUGGGGAAUCUUGCACAAUGGAGGAAACUCUGAUGCASGAUGCCGUGGAGUGAAGAAGGCCUUUGGGUUGUAAAGCUCUUUCGUCGGGGAAGAAAUGACUGUACCCGAAUAANAA
rnacentral:rRNA from 1 species